UCGGGUGAAGGAACUAGGCAAAAUGGCACCGUAACUUCGGGAGAAGGUGCGCCCUUUGGUGUGGUCACGUGCUUGACUGAGCAUCGAAGGGUCGCAGUAACCUGGCCGCUGCGACUGUUUAUCAAAAACACAGCACUCUGCAAACACGAAAGUGGACGUAUAGGGUGUGACGCCUGCCCGGUGCUGGAAGGUUAAUUGAUGGGGUCAGCCGCAAGGCGAAGCUCUUGAUCGAAGCCCCAGUAAACGGCGGCCGUAACAAUAACGGUCCUAAGGUAGCGAAAUUCCUUGUCGGGUAAGUUCCGACCUGCACGAAUGGCGUAACGACAGCGGCGCUGUCUCCACCCGAGACUCAGUGAAAUUGAAAUCGCUGUGAAGAUGCAGCGUUCCCGCGGCAAGACGGAAAGACCCCGUGAACCUUUACUAUAGCUUUACAUUGAACGUUGAGUUCUUCUGUGUAGGAUAGGUGGGAGGCUAUGAAACCGAGACGCUAGUUUCGGUGGAGCCAUCCUUGAAGUACCACCCUGAAGUGCUUGACGUUCUAACCUAGGUCCGUAAUCCGGAUCGGGGACCAUGUAUGGUGGGUAGUUUGACUGGGGCGGUCUCCUCCCAAAGAGUAACGGAGGAGCACGAAGGUACGCUCAGCGCGGUCGGACAUCGCGCACUGUGUGCAAAGGCAUAAGCGUGCUUGACUGCGAGAUCGACGGACCAAGCAGGUACGAAAGUAGGUCUUAGUGAUCCGGUGGUUCUGUAUGGAAGGGCCAUCGCUCAACGGAUAAAAGGUACUCCGGGGAUAACAGGCUGAUACCGCCCAAGAGUUCAUAUCGACGGCGGUGUUUGGCACCUCGAUGUCGGCUCAUCACAUCCUGGGGCUGUAGCCGGUCCCAAGGGUAUGGCUGUUCGCCAUUUAAAGUGGUACGCGAGCUGGGUUCAGAACGUCUUGAGACAGUUCGGUCCCUAUCUGUCGUGGGCGUUGGAGAUUUGAGGGGGGCUGCUCCUAGUACGAGAGGACCGGAGUGGACGUUCCGCUGGUGUUCGGGUUGUCAUGCCCAUGGCAUUGCCCGGUAGCUACGAACGGAAGUGAUAACCGCUGAAAGCAUCUAAGCGGGAAGCACGCCCCAAGAUGAGAUCUCCCGAGAGCUAGACUCUCCUUAAGGCACCAUCAAGACUAGGUGGUUGAUAGGCGCGGUGUGGAAGUGCAGCAAUGCAUUGAGCUUACGCGUACUAAUGAGCCGUGAGGCUUGACCU
rnacentral:rRNA from 1 species